UGUGGGAGCUGGCUUGCCUGCGAUAGCGGUGAAUCAGCGAUGCAUUCAUCAGCAGGCAGACCGCUAUCGCAGGCAAGCCAGCUCCCACA
rnacentral:misc_RNA from 1 species